GUAAAUAUAGUUUAAACAAAACAUUAGAUUGUGAAUCUAGUAAUAGAGAAUUAAUCACUCUUAUUUACC
rnacentral:tRNA from 1 species